UACGUAGGGUGCAAGCGUUUGUCCGGAAUUAUUGGGCGUAAAGAGCUCGUAGGCGGUUUGUCGCGUCUGCUGUGAAAUCCCGAGGCUCAACCUCGGGCCUGCAGUGGGUACGGGCAGACUAGAGUGCGGUAGGGGAGAUUGGAAUUCCUGGUGUAGCGGUGGAAUGCGCAGAUAUCAGGAGGAACACCGAUGGCGAAGGCAGGUCUCUGGGCCACUACUGACGCUGAGAAGCGAAAGCAUGGGGAGCGAACAGG
rnacentral:rRNA from 1 species